CCCUGUAUCGAAAGGUGUGCACAGCGUCCCCGUCGCUGUGCUCAUUAAUAAAUACAGGAAGAUAAAGCUGCGAGCCUUUCCCGUGUCUGAAGGAGUCUUGGUUCCUGUCAGACCCUGGCGCUCUCAGACA